GGAGACGUCGCAUAGUGGCCCAGUGCGAAGGUUUGCUAAACCUUUGAGCCGUAAGGCUCACGUGGGUUCGAAUCCCACCGUCUCCG
rnacentral:tRNA from 1 species